UGGGGAAUAUUGGACAAUGGGCGAAAGCCUGAUCCAGCCAUGCCGCGUGUGUGAAGAAGGUCUUCGGAUUGUAAAGCACUUUAAGUUGGGAGGAAGGGCAGUAAGCGAAUACCUUGCUGUUUUGACGUUACCGACAGAAUAAGCACCGGCUAACUCUGUGCCAGCAGCCGCGGUAAUACAGAGGGUGCAAGCGUUAAUCGGAAUUACUGGGCGUAAAGCGCGCGUAGGUGGUUCGUUAAGUUGAAUGUGAAAGCCCCGGGCUCAACCUGGGAACUGCAUCCAAAACUGGCGAGCUGGAGUAGGGCAGAGGGUGGUGGAAUUUCCUGUGUAGCGGUGAAAUGCGUAGAUAUAGGAAGGAACACCAGUGGCGAAGGCGACCACCUGGGCUCAUACUGACGCUGAGGUGCGAAAGCGUGGGGAGCAAACAGG
rnacentral:rRNA from 1 species